UGUUUAACUGCGAGUCCUGUUU
rnacentral:miRNA from 1 species